rnacentral:lncRNA from 1 species
AAGGGUUAUAAAACGUAACAACACAAACGUUGGCCCUAAUUUAGAGAUCACAAACUCACCACGGCGCUUGAAUAAUGGGUUUCAUUGUGAGGGAUUCGGGAACACAAUAAUGCUGCCGUGUAUGUUCGACGGCCGGUCCUCUUUAUCCCAAGCUAAUUUGUAACCCACGAUAGUCAGGUCAAAUUGAUACUUCUUCGGGAUUUUUUCCUUUUUUUUUUUUCCAAAUCGAAAUACAUUCAUAAUAGAAAUGUCAACGGCAAAACGAAAUAGCCCCAUAACCAAUAGCCCAUAGGAAGAGGCAACUAAAACCCACACUAGGGUGACUUAAACCCAUACCGAAGUGACUUAAAAAAACAUAAAUCUACACCGACAUCGAACCAAAUAAACGGUUACAAUCUACGCAGGAGAAGAGCAGAAAACUUGAUAGACUUUAAAGCUGAGGAAAGCCAAUGAUCGGGAGUUACCGCUGCUGCCCAUAGCCCGCCACCCAACAUCCUCUUCUGCACCCAAACCACACUUAUCGUUGCUGCCUCGCCCGCCAAUCGAUAAGACCAAGAACCGGAGACUUCAUAACUCGACAAGGGGAACCGCUGCUCAGUCCACACACCUUGGAUAUCUAAACGUCCAAAUUCCUUAGAAAGAAGCCCUCCCAACACAUGCUGAAGGUGAAGCCAUGCCAAUCAAACCUCUUGGGGCACACUCACAAGAGAAGAAACCGACGACAUGCAACCAAUGGAUACAAUACCCCCAGAAAAAAAAACUACUAAAACAAGGGAACACUCCAAGCAUAGAAUCAAUAAACCGAUCAAGCCUUUCAACAUCUCUACCGAAAAUGAGAAAGGUCGAGACUAAAACGAGCAAGACUCACAAACCGAUGAACUUCCAUUUCUAGAUCUGAAACACGAUCUGUGCUGCCACAACCGAACACAGCCACAGACGCAUCUACUAACCAAAUGAAGCGCGGUUCCGACAUAACCAUGACGAAAAUCAUAGAGAAAUGGCAGAGCUCACCAAGCUCAUGAACCAGCACGAACAUCAACCGAAAACUCAAAAAAAAAAUACAAACGAUAAAGCCCUGGACAUAAAGGAUGAAAAUCUACAAACGAUUU